rnacentral:misc_RNA from 1 species
GCAAGCUGGUGCGUACAUUCGAGCUACCCAAACAUCGCAAUUUCAUAACCAUCAUAGUUAAGUUGUCAUAUCAAAACUCACAACCAAGGAGGAGCCCCGCAUUUGCUUAUUGAAGCAAUACCUCGAAUACCUUGAAAAAACCAGUAAAACCUUUCUUAUUUAUGUUUUACACUUACAAUAUCAAUCCUCAAUCUUGAUUUCAAUCGACAAUCCAAGCGACUUCGUGAAAAGUCGAGAAGUUAUGCCGCAGACAUGACACAGUCUAUCGCUUGCUUACAGAUUCCGGUCAUUGUCGCUUCUGGCCCAUAAACCUCAAGUGGAACACCUAGCUCGUCGCCCAAAGCCCGCAUUUUCGCAAGACCGGUCUGGUAGUUGGGACCACCUCUCCGAACAUAUAUGUGCAUUCUCGAGGCCUUCAACUUGGAUUCCUUCUCCCGCAGGGCCCGUAUAAUGCCAUUGAAAGUAGUAGCAACGUCGGUGAAGUUGGCUAUUCCUCCUCCAAUGAGAAGAGCCCUCUUCCGACCAUCGGGGUCUGCAGUAGCACAAUCAAGAACAACUCUCGCAUACUGCAAGACCUCAUCCUCCUUUGGAGCACCACUGUACUCAGCAUAGUUCCCAAGCUCUGAUGCAUAACCCAGAUCUCCGACUGUGUCAGCAUAUAUAACACUGGCGCCACCACCAGCCACCAUCGUCCAAAUUCGUCCUUUGGGAUUUAAAACAGUGAACUUCAGAGAGGCACUUGUCUUCUCAUCCAGGCCAUGAAUGAAGCUUUCUGUGGCACUAAGGACUCUGCCGAAAGGGAGCGGAAAUUCUAUGUUUCCCCACUUCUUAAAGUUCUUGAAUGCAGCUGUGUCAUCUAAUUCUCCUCGCAUAUCCAAUGGGUAGGGCUCCCCAUCCACCAGCGUAAAUGGGUUCAUCUCGAGGAACGUAAAAUCUAAGUCUUCGAACACAUUAUAGACUCCUUUUAUGAAAUCCCCAAUUUUACCUCUAACCUCCAGUGGAAGUGUCGCAAUCAACGGGGCACACACCUGCGACGUCAUCGGCUUCUCCGUCGGAAGAAACACCGUCUUAACCUUGUCCCAAUUCUCCUCAAUCUCAAUCCCCCCACACUCGGAAAAACUGAUAGUACUCCCCAGCCUAUCCGACACAAUCGACAAAUAAUACUCCUGCUCGUGCGGCACAAACGGCUCAACAAUGAACGUCGUGAUCGGCGCCUUGCACCCGCCUAUCUCAACCUCGACGCCGAGGCGUUCCUUGACGAACUGAGCCACCUGCGCCAGAUCCAGAUUGAGCGCCACCAGCCCGCUCUUCCCCCGCUUGCCGAACAGCAUGUCGGGCUUGACGACGAGCUUCAUCGACGACAGCCAUGGCUCGUUGUUGACUAGAUCGGUGAAAUCGGUUGAUUCGGUGACCUGGGCGGAGCGGAUCUGGAGGUCGAUGCCGGCGAGACGUUUGAGGUGCUCUUUGAGGAGACGCUUCGAGUCGUACUCUCGGAUCUUCUUCCUCGCCAUUGGAGAUGGGUGGGUGGAGA